AGAGUUUGAUCAUGGCUCAGAGCGAACGCUGGCGGCAGGCUUAACACAUGCAAGUCGAGCGGGCGUAGCAAUACGUCAGCGGCAGACGGGUGAGUAACGCGUGGGAACGUACCUUUUGGUUCGGAACAACACAGGGAAACUUGUGCUAAUACCGGAUAAGCCCUUACGGGGAAAGAUUUAUCGCCGAAAGAUCGGCCCGCGUCUGAUUAGCUAGUUGGUGAGGUAACGGCUCACCAAGGCGACGAUCAGUAGCUGGUCUGAGAGGAUGAUCAGCCACAUUGGGACUGAGACACGGCCCAAACUCCUACGGGAGGCAGCAGUGGGGAAUAUUGGACAAUGGGCGCAAGCCUGAUCCAGCCAUGCCGCGUGAGUGAUGAAGGCCCUAGGGUUGUAAAGCUCUUUUGUGCGGGAAGAUAAUGACGGUACCGCAAGAAUAAGCCCCGGCUAACUUCGUGCCAGCAGCCGCGGUAAUACGAAGGGGGCUAGCGUUGCUCGGAAUCACUGGGCGUAAAGGGUGCGUAGGCGGGUCUUUAAGUCAGGGGUGAAAUCCUGGAGCUCAACUCCAGAACUGCCUUUGAUACUGAGGAUCUUGAGUUCGGGAGAGGUGAGUGGAACUGCGAGUGUAGAGGUGAAAUUCGUAGAUAUUCGCAAGAACACCAGUGGCGAAGGCGGCUCACUGGCCCGAUACUGACGCUGAGGCACGAAAGCGUGGGGAGCAAACAGGAUUAGAUACCCCGGUAGUCC
rnacentral:rRNA from 1 species